rnacentral:sRNA from 1 species
AUACUCAACUAAGCAGA